GCUCAGGAUGAACGCUGGCGGCGUGCCUAAUACAUGCAAGUCGAGCGAACGGACGAGAAGCUUGCUUCUCUGAUGUUAGCGGCGGACGGGUGAGUAACACGUGGAUAACCUACCUAUAAGACUGGGAUAACUUCGGGAAACCGGAGCUAAUACCGGAUAAUAUUUUGAACCGCAUGGUUCAAAAGUAGAAGACGGUCUUGCUGUCACUUAUAGAUGGAUCCGCGCUGCAUUAGCUAGUUGGUAAGGUAACGGCUUACCAAGGCAACGAUGCAUAGCCGACCUGAGAGGGUGAUCGGCCACACUGGGACUGAGACACGGCCCAGACUCCUACGGGAGGCAGCAGUAGGGAAUCUUCGGCAAUGGACGGAAGUCUGACCGAGCAACGCCGCGUGAGUGAAGAAGGUUUUCGGAUCGUAAAGCUCUGUUGUAAGAGAAGAACGAGUGUGAGAGUGGAAAG
rnacentral:rRNA from 1 species